rnacentral:rRNA from 1 species
GAUGAACGCUGGCGGCGUGCCUAAUACAUGCAAGUCGAGCGAACAGACGAGGAGCUUGCUCCUCUGACGUUAGCGGCGGACGGGUGAGUAACACGUGGAUGACCUACCUAUAAGACUGGGAUAACUUCGGGAAACCGGAGCUAAUACCGGAUAAUAUCUUGAACCGCAUGGUUCAAUAGUGAAAGACGGUUUUGCUGUCACUUAUAGAUGGAUCCGCGCCGCAUUAGCUAGUUGGUAAGGUAACGGGUUACCAAGGCGACGAUGCGUAGCCGACCUGAGAGGGUGAUCGGCCACACUGGAACUGGGACGCGGUCCAGACUCCUACGGGAGGCAGCAGUAGGGAAUCUUACGCAAUGGGCGAAAGCCUGACGGAGCAACGCCGCGUGAGUGAUGAAGGUCUUCGGAUCGUAAAACUCUGUUAUUAGGGAAGAACAAAUGUGUAAGUAACUAUGCACGUCUUGACGGUACCUAAUCAGAAAGCCACGGCUAACUACGUG